ensembl:lncRNA
UGUGAAUAAGGGAGUGUGUAUACGGGUAUGCAUACGGGUGUGUAUAAGGUUGUGUGUGUAUGGCUGUGAAUAAGCGUGUGUGAAUAAGUGAGUGUGUAUACGGGUGUGUAUAAGGUUGUGUGUAUAAAGGUGUGUGAAUAAGUUGGUGUGUAUAAGGGUGUGUAUAUGAGUGUGUAUACGGGUGUGUACACGGGUGUGUAUAAGGGUGUGUGUAUACGCGGGUGUGUAUGUGGGUGUGUAUACGGGUGUGUGUAUAAGGGUGUGUGAAUAAGUGAGUGUGUAUACAAGUGUGUAUAACGUUGUGUGUAUAAAGGUGUGUGAAUAAGGGUGUGUGUAUACGGGUGUGUGUAUACGGGUGUAUAAGGGUGUGGGUAAGGCUGUGUGAAUAAGGGUGUGUGAAUAAGGGUGUGUGAAUAAGGGUGUGUGAAUAAGGGUGUGUGUAUACGGGUGUGCAAAAGGCUGUGUGUAUAAAGAUGUGUAUAAGGGCAUGUGAAUAAGUGAGUGUGUAUACGUUUGUGUAUAAGGGCGUGUGCAUGUGUGUGCAUACGGGUGUGUGAAUAAGUGAGUGUGUAUACGGGUGUGUGUAUAAAGGUGUGUGAAUAAGUGAGUGUACACGGAUGUGUAUAAGGCUGUGUGUAUGAGUGUGUGUGUAUGAGUGUGUGUAUAAGGGAGUGGAUAAGUGGGUGUGCAAAAGGCUGUGUGUAUAAAGGUGUGUAUAAGGUUGUGUGUAUAAGGGCGUGUGAAUAAAGGAGUGUGUAUACGGGUGUGUGAACAAGUGAGUGAGUAUACGGGUGUGUAUAAGGGUGUGUAUAAGGUUGUGUAUAGGGUGUGUAUAAGAUUGUGUAUAUAAGGUGUGUGAAUAAGUGAGUGUAUAUACGGGUGUGUGAAUAAGUGAGUGUGUAUACGAUUGUGUAUAAGGGGGUGUAUACGGGUGUGUAUAAAGGUGUGUAUAAGGGUGUGUGAAUAAGUGAGUGGGUAUACGGGUGUGUAUAUGGGUGUGUAUACGGGUGUGUGAAUAAGUGAGUGAGUAUAUGGGUGUGUAUAUGGGUGUGUAUACGGGUGUGAAUAAGUGAGUGUGUAUACGGGAAUGUAUACGGGUGUGUAUAAGGCUGUGUGUAUAAGGCUGUGUGUAUAAGGCUGUGUGUAUACGGGUGUGUGUAUAAGGCUGUGUGUAUAAGGCUGUGUGUAUAAGGGGGUGUAUAAGGGUGUGUGUAUAUGGCUGUGGGUAUAAGGCUGUGGGUAUAAGGCUGUGUGUAUAAGGGUGUGUGUAUAAGGCUGUGUGUAUACGGGUGUGCGUAUAAGGCUGUGUGUAUACGGGUGUGCGUAAGGCUGUGUGUAUACGGGUGUGCGUAAGGCUGUGUGUAUACGGGUGUGCGUAAGGGUGUGUAUAGGGGUGUGUAUAAGGCUGUGUGUAUACGGGUGUGCGUAAGGGUGUGUAUAGGGGUGUGUAUAAGGCUGUGUAUAUACGGGUGUGAAUAAGGGUUUAUAUAAGGCUGUGUGUAUAAGGGUGUGUGUAUAAGUGAGUGUGUAUACAGGUGUGUAUAAGGGUGUGUGUGUGUGCUGUACCCCUUUCCACAGCCCUCUGGCCCAACCAGCAGGAACGGCUGUGUGUUUCCGGCCUGCAGCCAGCGUGUGAAGUUGUGUAGCGCGUCCUGUGUGUGUGGAGUGUGUAUGACGGGGAGUGUGUGCGUAUAUCCGAAGUCCUCCACGCACACUCCGUCUCCACGCUGCGCCUCGUACGCACGCACGCGGCCAGAGUCACCAUCAUAGCACAGAUCCAGAGGGUUCCGCGGGUCAGGAGGGCUCUCACCUGCCCAGGUUAGCACCUACACACACACACACACACACACACACUUGUAUACAAAAUGACAACCUGCAUGCGCGCACACACACACACACACA